GAUGAACGCUGGCGGCGUGCCUAAUACAUGCAAGUCGAGCGAACAGAUGAGGAGCUUGCUCCUCUGACGUUAGCGGCGGACGGGUGAGUAACACGUGGAUAACCUACCUAUAAGACUGGGAUAACUUCGGGAAACCGGAGCUAAUACCGGAUAAUAUAUUGAACCGCAUGGUUCAAUAGUGAAAGACGGUUUUGCUGUCACUUAUAGAUGGAUCCGCGCCGCAUUAGCUAGUUGGUAAGGUAACGGCUUACCAAGGCAACGAUGCGUAGCCGACCUGAGAGGGUGAUCGGCCACACUGGAACUGAGACACGGUUCAGACUCCUACGGGAGGCAGCAGUAGGGAAUCUUCCGCAAUGGGCGAAAGCCUGACGGAGCAACGCCGCGUGAGUGAUGAAGGUCUUCGGAUCGUAAAACUCUGUUAUUAGGGAAGAACAAAUGUGUAAGUAACUAUGCACGUCUUGACGGUACCUAAUCAGAAAGCCACGGCUAACUACGUG
rnacentral:rRNA from 1 species